rnacentral:rRNA from 1 species
UACAGAGGGGGCAAGCGUUGUUCGGAAUUACUGGGCGUAAAGGGCGCGUAGGCGGCCUUCUAAGUCAGACGUGAAAUCCCUCGGCUCAACCGGGGAACUGCGUCUGAGACUGGAAGGCUUGAAUCCGGGAGAGGGAUGUGGAAUUCCAGGUGUAGCGGUGAAAUGCGUAGAUAUCUGGAGGAACACCGGUGGCGAAGGCGGCAUCCUGGACCGGUAUUGACGCUGAGAAGCGAAAGCGUGGGGAGCGAACAGG